rnacentral:rRNA from 1 species
AAUGAACGCUGGCGGCAGGCCUAAAACAUGCAAGUCGAACGCCCUAGCAAUAGGGAGUGGCGCACGGGUGAGUAACAUGUGGGAAUAUGCCUUUUGGUACGGAACAACGUUUGGAAACGAACGCUAAUACCGUAUGGUCCCUCCGGGGUAAAGAUUUAUCGCCAAAAGAUUAGCCCGCACUAGAUUAGCUAGUUGGUAAGGUAAUGGCUUACCAAGGCGACGAUCUAUAGCUGUUCUGAGAGGAAGAUCAGCCACACUGGGACUGAGACACGGCCCAGACUCCUACGGGAGGCAGCAGUUAGGAAUAUUGGACAAUGGGCGCAAGCUUGAUCCAGCCAUGCCGCGUGAGUGAUGAAGGCCUUCGGGUUGUAAAGCUCUUUAACCGACGAAUAUAAUGACUGUAGUCGGAGAAUAAGCCCCGGCUAACUUCGUGCCAGCCGCCGCCGUAACAC